rnacentral:misc_RNA from 1 species
GUUUGAGACUUUUUUUUUUUUUUUGAAAUGCAAGCAUUUGCAACUGUUGGGUUGAAGACUGAAGUGAACACUUUGCGCAUUUCUAAAUUUUCUAUCUUUUCUCAAGUUUUUACUUCUUUUCCUAUCUCAUAUGACUGGUUUGUGAACGGGUAAAAAGACCCAUGCCGUACACCUAGCUCCUGGUACAGAAUUAGGGACAGAUCAUAGAUGAUGUCCUUUUUUAGCUGUGUACAUAGGAUGUGAUUUUGCUUGCUAUUAAGGUCGAGGCAAAGACCUUUUUUUCAAGCUUGAUUUUUGGAUUAAGUUGGGACGCAGGAUGAGGAUGAGAUUCUCUAUCUUGUAUGGCUAUCAUAUGCCUGAAUCAAAUCACCAUAGUUUCUUUCAGAUAUAAG